CUUGUUUUGGGUGCCAAAACACCUAAGGCCAACAACACCGACCAUGCUAGAGACCACCAAACUAAUGCUGCAUACAUGGGACACAUACAGAACGCACCUUAGUGGCUCAGGAACCACAUCGCUAGCAUCGACAAUGUAUAGUAUCUACCUGAGGAACAAAACAUUUGACUACCGGACUUGGGCGAAUGCAGGGUGUACACACAUACACG